UGGUGGAGUGAUUUGUCUGGUUAAUUCCGUUAACGAACGAGACCUUAACUUGCUAAAUAGUUACAUGUAAUUUGGGUUAUGUGGGCAACUUCUUAGAGGGACUUUGUGUGUACAGCACAAGGAAGUGUGAGGCAAUAACA
rnacentral:rRNA from 1 species